ensembl:lncRNA
UCCCAAGAAUCAAACCAAAUACCCUGGCGUUUCAAGCACCAUGCUCUACCACCACCUGAGCUACAGGGGCACCAUGCUCUACCACCACCUGAGCUGCAGGGGCACCAUGCUCUACCACCACCUGAGCUGCAGGGGCACCAUGCUCUACCACCAUCUGAGCUGCAGGGGCACCAUGCUCUACCACCAUCUGAGCUGCAGGGGCACCAUGCUCUACCACCAUCUGAGCUACAGGGGCACCAUGCUCUACCAACUGAGCUACAGGGGCACCAUGCUCUACCAACUGAGCUACAGGGGCACCAUGCUCUACCAACUGAGCUACAGGAGCACCAUGCUCUACCAACUGAGCUACAGGAGCACCAUGCUCUACCAACUGAGCUACAGGAGCACCAUGCUCUAACAACUGAGCUACAGGGGCACCAUGCUCUAACAACUGAGCUACAGGGGCACCAUGCUCUACCAACUGAGCUACAGGGGCACCAUGCUCUACCAACUGAGCUACCGGGACACCAUCCUCUACCACCAACUGGGCUACAGGAGCACCAUGCUCUACCACUAACUGGGCUACAGGGGCACCAUGCUCUACCACCAACUGAGCUACAGGGGCACCAUGCUCUACCAACAACUGAGCUACAGGGGUACCAUGCUCUACCACCAUCUGAGCUACAGGAGCACUAUGCUCUACCAACUGGGCUACAGGAGCACCAUGCUCUAUCACUAACUGGGCUACAGGGGCACCAUGCUCUACCACCAACUGGGCAACAGGGGCACCAUGCUCUACCACCAUCUGAGCUGCAGGGGCACCAUGCUCUACCACCAUCUGAGCUGCAGGGGCACCAUGCUCUACCACCAUCUGAGCUGCAGGGGCACCAUGCUCUACCACCAUCUGAGCUGCAGGGGCACCAUGCUCUACCACCAUCUGAGCUACAGGGGCACCAUGCUCUACCACCAUCUGAGCUACAGGGGCACCAUGCUCUACCAACUGAGCUACAGGGGCACCAUGCUCUACCAACUGAGCUACAGGGGCACCAUGCUCUACCAACUGAGCUACAGGGGCACCAUGCUCUACCAACUGAGCUACGGGGGCACCAUGCUCUACCAACUGAGCUACAGGGGCACCAUGCUCUACCAACUGAGCUACAGGGGCACCAUGCUCUAACAACUGAGCUACAGGGGCACCAUGCUCUACCAACUGAGCUACCGGGACACCAUCCUCUACCACCAACUGGGCUACAGGAGCACCAUGCUCUACCACUAACUGGGCUACAGGGGCACCAUGCUCUACCACCAGCUGAGCUACAGGGGCACCAUGCUCUACCAACAACUGAGCUACAGGGGUACCAUGCUCUACCACCAUCUGAGCUACAGGAGCACUAUGCUCUACCAACUGGGCUACAGGAGCACCAUGCUCUACCACCAACUGGGCUACAGGGGCACCAUGCUCUACCACCAACUGGGCUAAAGGGGCACCAUGCUCUACCACCAACUGGGCUACAGGGGCACCAUGCUCUACCACCAACUGGGCUACAGGGGCACCAUGCUCUACCACCAACUGAGCUACAGUGGCACCAUGCUCUACCACCAACUGAGCUACAGGGGCACCAUGCUCUACCAACUGAGCUACAGGAGCACCAUGCUCUACCAACUGAGCUACAGGAGCACCAUGCUCUACCAACUGAGCUACAGGAGCACCAUGCUCUACCAACUGAGCUACAGGAGCACCAUGCUCUACCAACUGAGCUACAGGAGCACCAUGCUCUACCAACUGAGCUACAGGAGCACCAUGCUCUACCAACUGAGCUACAGGAGCACCAUGCUCUACCAACUGAGCUACAGGAGCACCAUGCUCUACCAACUGAGCUACAGGAGCACCAUGCUCUACCAACUGAGCUACAGGAGCACCAUGCUCUACCACUAACUGGGUUACAGGGGCACCAUACUCUACAAACUGAGCUACAAAUGACAAAAGGAUUAGGGUGA